GAAGCAUGAUGCCCCAAGUGAAAGCUGCUAACUUAUCACCAUAGCGGUUAGAUUCCGUUGAUGUUUCU
rnacentral:tRNA from 1 species